rnacentral:rRNA from 1 species
UACGUAGGGGGCAAGCGUUGUCCGGAAUCAUUGGGCGUAAAGCGCGCGUAGGCGGCUCGGUAAGUCCGUUGUGAAAGUCAAAGGCUCAACCUUUGAACGCCGAUGGAUACUGCCGGGCUAGAGUCCGGAAGAGGCGAGUGGAAUUCCUGGUGUAGCGGUGGAAUGCGCAGAUAUCAGGAGGAACACCAAUAGCGAAGGCAGCUCGCUGGGACGGUACUGACGCUGAGGCGCGAAAGCGUGGGGAGCGAACAGG